rnacentral:rRNA from 1 species
GAACGACUGCUAAUACCGGAUAUGCGGAAACGUGAAAGAUAAAUUGCCUAAAGGAGAGCUUGCGUCAGAUUAGCUAGUAGGUGGUGUAAGAGACUACCUAGGCUUUGAUCUGUAGCUGGUCUGAGAGGACGAUCAGCCACACUGGAACUGAGACACGGUCCAGACUCCUACGGGAGGCAGCAGUGGGGAAUUUUCCGCAAUGGGCGAAAGCCUGACGGAGCAAUACCGCGUGAGGGACGAAGGCUUUUGGGUCGUAAACCUCUUUUCUCAAGGAAGAAUAAGACGGUACUUGAGGAAUAAGCAUCGGCUAACUCCGUGCCAGCAGCCGCGGUAAUACGGAGGAUGCAAGCGUUAUCCGGAAUGAUUGGGCGUAAAGCGUCCGCAGGUGGUUUUGUAAGUCUGCUGUUAAAGCGUCAUGCUUAACAUGAUAAGGGCAGUGGAAACUAUGAGACUAGAGUAUGUUAGGGGUAGAGGGAAUUCCCAGUGUAGCGGUGAAAUGCGUAGAGAUUGGGAAGAACACCGGUGGCGAAAGCGCUCUGCUAGGACAAUAC